GGACUGCCUUCCCAAAGGCGGCCGAGUACUCCUGCUUUCAGCUUCCUCACUGACCAUCUGUGAUUUCUUUCCAGAAAAGUACUGCCAUUCCUUCACCUGGUGGAAGCCAGAAGAGGAGAGGGCGCUGGGUCCUGAGGGUCCCAGGCCGGUUCUCCCCUGUCAUUUUCCUCUGCAUCUCUUUCCCCUGCCUGAAGGAUUUCUACGUAUCCAUCCUGCCUGGUGGGAAUUCCUCUAACCUCGUAUCUUCCUUCUCCUCGAGAACAGCUGCCUCAAAGCUCCGCCACAGCCGUUCCCAUCCCUCCUCUUGGUCCUCCCUUCCCGCCUUCCAGAGUGAGGAUGCAUCCUUUGACUCUGCUCAGCAAACCUAGGAUGGGGACAAGGGACGCGUGCAGUUGAGGAAGUAAGGGACGAAAACACAGUCGCUACCCUCAAGGAACUUCUGAUUUCGUGGGGAGAUACGGACAGGACUUUCUUCCACGGAGGUACCCCUCCUCCCCCUGGCGUGCUAUUGCUGUAAACAGGACUCUGGUGGUCUGCUAUCAAAUCUCAGAACUCCUCAAAGCUGUAAAACAGGCAAAUGCACAAAGAAAGAUCUGGGACCUACACUCGAUGUCCACCCUCUGGCCACGUCUGAUCCGCGAAGCCUCUCCGCUGUAGGCUGGCUGGAGCCCUGGUGAAAGGUGGCUUCUCUUCCAUCUAGGCAGCUAUGACAAGAGAAGUGCCCCACUUGAGGCCGGUCGAAAGGAAGCUGGGCUGUGGAUGCAGCUGACAUCUAGGAAGGAAGGCAGAGCUGAGAGAAUAGCAGAAUAUGGUGCUAGAGCCCUGAUCAUGCAAUGCCUGAAGCCUGAACUACCCCAGUUACCUCUGAAGGAGCUAAUAAAUCACCUUGUAUU